AACGAACGCUGGCGGCAUGCCUAACACAUGCAAGUCGAACGAGACCUUCGGGCCUAGUGGCGCACGUGUGCGUAACGCGUGGGAACCUGCCCUUAGGUUCGGAAUCACUCCCCGAAAGGGGUGCUAAUACCGGUUAAUCUCUUCCGACCUAAGAUGUAUCGCCAUUGGAUGGGCCCGCGUUGGAUUAGCUGGUUGGUAGGGUAAUAGCCUACCAAGGCGUCGAUGCAUAGCUGGUCGGAGAGGAGGAUCAGCCAGAAUGGGACUGAGACACGGCCCAGACUCGGACGGGAGGGAGCAGUGGGGAAUAUUGGAGGAGGGGCGAAAGCCUAGUCAAGCAGUGCCGCGGGAGUGAUGAAGGGGUUAGGGUUGUAAAGCUCUUUUACCCGGGAUGAUAAUGACGGUACCGGGAGAAUAAGCACCGGCUAACUACGUG
rnacentral:rRNA from 1 species